rnacentral:rRNA from 1 species
UACGUAGGUCCCGAGCGUUGUCCGGAUUUAUUGGGCGUAAAGCGAGCGCAGGUGGUUUAUUAAGUCUGGUGUAAAAGGCAGUGGCUCAACCAUUGUAUGCAUUGGAAACUGGUAGACUUGAGUGCAGGAGAGGAGAGUGGAAUUCCAUGUGUAGCGGUGAAAUGCGUAGAUAUAUGGAGGAACACCGGUGGCGAAAGCGGCUCUCUGGCCUGUAACUGACACUGAGGCUCGAAAGCGCGGGGAUCGAACAGG